CCGUUGCGUGGCAGCAGAUAAGAUGCCAGAGCAUUGUGGAGCAUUUUCCUUUUCUAAUCGCCGAACCAUCGAGAAUAGGGCUUUUCACAACUCUUCACCUGUCAUUCAGAUUGCACUGAGCGGAGCGGAUGACCGGUUUAAGAUGGCGGCUCCAAUUCUCGCCAGGAGCGGUCGAGGGCGUCUACCUAUUUGAUGUCUAUGGGUGUGUGUACCACCAGUGAGGCUACUACUAAAUGGAUAGACAUAAAUAAAUAAAAAGAAUUUCAGGAUUAGUCAGCUGUUUCCAAAUCAAUGAGGGGAAGUGGACAAACCAAGCAUUUCCUGUUCAACACCAUGACAAACUCUGCCAAACUGAACUUUACACGGAACGACGAAUCAGAGUUAAUUGCCGGAGGCUUAGAUGAAGUGUCACACUGAAGCAUUACAUUGACGUGACCAUGUGAGCAGAGACAAGGAUCUACAUGGAGGUCUUUUUUCCACUUGCUGCUAUUACACAACAAUACUCUGUCUGCCUCUCCCAUUACACCACAUUUACACAAUCCAAUUGUCAAUAAAUAUGAGAAGCUUUUACUGUCA